rfam:Ornithorhynchus anatinus chromosome 12, whole genome shotgun sequence.
AUUCUCUCGGGGCUGCACCUGGAGGGUUUCCGGUACUCUACCAGUCUCAACUACGGGAGGGAGAGUCAAGUAGAGACAUAUCAAUUCCAUUCCUAGCUUCGGCAGUGGCUAGCGAGUGGAAGGCCAUCUGCUACAAGU